CCCCUCUCAGGGUUGCACCUGGAGAGUUUCCAGUACUCUACCAGUCUCGACUACAGGAGGGACAGUCAAGGAGAGAUAUAGCCAUUCCAUUCCUAGCUUGGAUAGUGGCUGGCAAGUGGAAGGGAGUCUGCUACAAGU